GCUACCUUCCCCUCGACCCGCGAUCUCUCCGCGCGCCUCUCAGACUGUGCGAGUGUGCGCUUGCUGUAAAGAAGUGAUUCAUGACCAGAGAAACCAAGGAGUAGCACACUUGUUGCACAGCUUCUUUGAAGUUCUCCGCCUGUUGCUGACUUGCCACGUCACGUCGCGACCUUGAAACACGUGCUACGGUGUUAUUUGUAAUAUUGCACUAAGUAAAAACUUAAGUUUUUGAUUAUUGUCGUGGUCAAUUUAAAAGGACUGCCAACAUUAUAAAUUGAAAAUAAAUUUUAAUAAUUCA